ncrna:Calidifontibacillus oryziterrae L31-Firmicutes ribosomal protein leader
CUCUGUUUCCACAGGAAUCAGGGCGGAAGGAG